GUAUGGGGUGCUGCUCUGGGAGAUCUUUACCCUGGGAGGGUCCCCGUACCCCGGCAUCCCUGUAGAGGAGCUGUUCAAACUGCUGAAGGAGGGCCACCGCAUGGACAAGCCUGCCAACUGCACACAUGAACUAUAUAUGAUCAUGAGGGAUGCUGGCACGCUGUUCCAUCUCAGAGGCCUACCUUCAGGCAGCUGGUGGAAAGCAUGACAGGGUUCUAUCCAUGACCUCCAUGGACGAUUACCUGGACCUGUCUGUUCUAACACUGUGUGUUGUGUUACAACAGGAUUACCUGGACCUGUCUGUUCCGUUUGAGCAGUACUCUCCAACCUGCCAAGACUCCAGCAGCACCUGUUCCUCAGGAGAUGACUCAGUGUUCUCCCACGACCCCCUCCCCACGACCCCCUCCCUGACCAACUCUGCCCUCCCACGACCCCCUUCUCACGACCCCCUCCCUGAACAACCCUGCCUCUCCAAAAUGAGGGGGGAAUAACCUAGUCAAACUGCUGCAGAUUUACAUGGCAAUCAGGACAUAGAUCUAUAGGUGGGGCUGGAUGGGGAGGGGGGGUUAACAUCUAGAGGGGGUACAACGAUCCCCUAAAGACAUCUGGGGAGGGGGACAAUCAGGGGGGGGGGGACUCCCCCGAGACACCUCUCAGCGUCAUACUUUGAGCCUCCUACAAUAUGGGAAAGAGAACAGCGCAUGCAGAACAUCCUCAAACGGACACAUGUUUUAGAAUCUUUGCAUUGAAAGUUGGACAUUUUUUUGCCGCCAAAACCUCUUUUUUCCCUUUUUAAAAUGAAAAUGUAUAUUUUUUGUACUUGGCCAGUCUUUAGUUAUUGAUCCGAAAGGUCAAACCAUUCAGUGCCUACAGGAACUCUAUCCCACAGGACUGAGGAGAUUGAAACAAGGACAUGGACACCAUUAACCAGGGAGGCAGGUAUCUAUAACGCCAUUGGCCAGGGGGCAGGGUAUCUAUAACGCCAUUGGCCAGGGGGGCAGGGUAUCUAUAACGCCAUUGGCCAGGGGGGCAGGGUAUCUAUAACGCCAUUGCC